rnacentral:snoRNA from 1 species
GGCCUUAAAAAAAAUCAAACCACAGGCCGUGUUCUUACGCUGACUGUAGAGAAAGAGGAGGCAAAGUAAACCUGCUGCAUAUCUACCUCAGCCCGGGCGGCCCUGUGCCUGGUCUGUAUUGUGAAUGGAGAGAUGUAU